AGUUUUAUAGUCAAAAAUGAUUUUAAAUUGCAAAUUUAAAGGUGAAAUAAAUUUAAAUUUCUAAAACUU
rnacentral:tRNA from 1 species